rnacentral:rRNA from 1 species
AACGAACGCUGGCGGCGAGUGCCUAACACAUGCAAGUCGAACGAGACCUUCGGGUCGUAGUGGCGCGACGGGUGCGUAACGCGUGGGAAUCUGCCCUUGGGUUCGGAAUAACUCGCCGAAAGGCGUGCUAAUACCGGAUGAUGUCGUAAGACCAAAGAUUUAUCGCCCAGGGAUGAGCCCGCGUAAGAUUAGGUAGUUGGUGAGGUAAAGGCUCACCAAGCCGACGAUCUUUAGCUGGUCUGAGAGGAUGAUCAGCCACACUGGGACUGAGACACGGCCCAG